rnacentral:tRNA from 1 species
GUGGGUAUAGCUCAGUGGUAGAGCACAUGCUUGGAAUGCAUGAGGUCCUGGGUUCAAUCCCCAGUGUCUCCG